UACGUAGGGGGCAAGCGUUGUCCGGAUUUAUUGGGCGUAAAGAGCGUGUAGGCGGCCUGAAAGGUCAGCUGUGAAAACUCGGGGCUCAACCCCGAGACGUCGGUUGAAACCAUCUGGCUAGAGUCCGGAAGAGGAGUGUGGAAUUCCUGGUGUAGCGGUGAAAUGCGCAGAUAUCAGGAAGAACACCCGUGGCUAAGGCGGCUCUCUAGUACGGUACUGACGCUGAGACGCGAAAGCGUGGGGAGCGAACAGG
rnacentral:rRNA from 1 species